UUAGAAGCCAAAGGGUAGGCUCUCUGCUCCUCCUAUUCGACAUACAGUUGCAUCUUGCCUCCCAUCACCAGCUGCAUCCCUGAGACACCAUAGGGAAGGUGAAGGUCAGAGUCAAUGGAUUUGGUCGUAUUGGCCGCCUGGUCACCAGGUCUGCUUUUAGCUCUGGUAAAGUGGAUAUUAUUGCCAUCAAUGAUCUCUUCAUUGACCUCAACUACAUGGUCAACAUGUUCCAGUAUGAUUCCACCCAUGGCAAAUUCCAUGGCACCAUCAAAGCUGAGAAUGGGAAGCUUAUCAUCAAUGGAAAUCCCAUCACCAUCUUCCAGGAGUGAGAUCCUCCAAAAUCAAGUGGGGCGAUGCUGGCACUGAGUACGUGGUAGAGUCCACUGGCAUCUUCAUCACCAUGAAGAAGGCUGGGGCUCACUUGCAGGGGGAAACCAAAUGGGGCAUCAUCUGUGCCCCCUCUGCUGAUGCCCCCAUGUUCGUGAUGGGCGUGAACUAUGAGAAGUAUGAAAAUAGCCUCAGGAUUGUCAGCAAUGCCUCCUCCACCACCAAAUGCUUACUGUCCCUGGCCACGGUCAUCCAUUAAAACUUUGGUAUUGUGGAAGGAUUCUUAACCACCCCAUCACUGCCACCCAAAGGACUGUGGAUGGCCCCUCUGGGAAACCGUGGCAUGAUGGCCGUGGGGCUCUCCAGAACAUCAUCCCUGCCUCUACUGGCACUGCCAAGGCUAUUGGCAAGGCCAUCCCUGAGCUGAACGGGAAGCUCACUGGCAUGGUCUUCCGUGUCCCCAUUGCCAACGUGUCAGUGGUGGACCUGACCUGCUGUCUGGAAAAACCUGCCAAAUGUGAUGACAUCAAGAAGGUGUAAAGCAGGCAUCAGAGGGUCCCCUCAAGGGCAUCCUGGUUUACACUGAGCACCAGGUGGUCUCCUGUGACUUCAACAGCGACACCCACUCUUCCACCUUUGAUGCUGGGGCUGGCAUUGCCCUCAAUGACCACUUUGUCAAACUCAUUUCUUGGUAUGACAAUGAAUUUGGCUACAGUAACAGGGUGGUGGAUGUCAUGGCCCACAUGGCUUCCAAGGAGUAAGACCCCUGGACUACCAGCCACAGCAAGAGCAUGAGAGGAAGAGAGAGGCCCUCACUGCUGGUGAGUCCCUGCCACACUCAGUCCCCUACCACACUGAAUUGCCCAUCCUCACAGUUUCCAUGUAGACCCCUUGAAGAGGGAGGGGGCCUAGGGAGCCCCACCUUGUCAUGUACCAUCAGUCAAGUCCCCUGUGCUCAGCC